GGCUUUAAUGCAACUAGUCUUAUAAUUAUCUACUAGUCUGCAACAGUUAGACUCGAUGAUUACACAUAGAUGAUUUAACUACUUUAGGGGCAUUUCACUUUUCUAAAAGUUUCACAGGCCAAUAGUUUUAAAUAGAGCACCACAAACAACAUGUAUUCUUUUAGAAAUAAACUGUGAUACUUCUAAAAAACACAUAUUCACACCUAGCCACACUCAUUAACAGUUAGACAGAGGCGGUUGCAGUUAGGCUCCCAACAGUCUGCAAAAGAAGUCAUGAAGCAAACAAAAGAGGCUCCCUUAUCAAGAGCAUCCCAGCCCAAAGGUGUUUCUUCACAAACCGUUAAUUCCAUUAUCUUAUCUUAUCAUGUCAGAGGCCAACAGAAACCGUGGCCAACCCCGGGGGGUAAUGACACCUCCUACUGGGCUAGUCUAACACAUGUACAUAUAAAACGGACUCCUUCACCAUUUGGAGCAUCAACAGAGCGACCUAAGGAACGCAGACACCUCUAACUAAGGAGUGCAGGAUGACAUCUGUAUCAACCAUGACGAGCAGUCAGGACAUCGCCCAAGCCACAGCCAUACUAGGUACGUCUACAGGCGCAUGCCCCAGGGGCCCUCAUCGCAAAAAGCAGCGCUGUGAAAACGCCGUAGAUGGGACUGAAUUUAAGCUAGAAUAUAGAGGCAGUAAUGGGUAUGUGUAUACCGUUAAAUAUACCAACGGAGCAGUUAUACUUCGUGUAGAUUGUGGUGAGGGAGUGUUUUGGGGGGAGACACAACGCAUGUCUACUAGAAACUGGAAAGUCUUUCGCACAGUUGUUUGUGCGGACUUGGACAGUGUGGGAUUCCCAGAGAUGCUGUAUGUUUCCCAGUGGAACAGUCCAACAGGCCUUGAACUUUACAGGGUCGAGGCUGAUCGCUUCAACCGUAGCCCCGAUGACUUUAUUUUUCUCAGUGUAUGUGAUGACAGGGAAAGUCUUAUUGCUGUCAGAGGGGUUGAAAACUGAAGGUUAAAUCCUUACCCUCUGAGCAUAGAAGAGCGCGCUACAUGGUUUAAGGACAUGUUUUUUUUAUACAGUGGUGCGACUGGAGACCUAUGCUGCAUCUGUUUAGCCAGAUUGACGACACCAUCAAGAGGGUAGUCUCAACACUGCGUACGAGGGUAUUAGAAAACGCCUUGUUUUUGAUGAUUUUGCGACUUGUCCGAAGACUGGUUUGCCUUCUACCCUGUGCAAACCUAAAAUCAUAAGGCCGUCUGACAACUAAAUAAACAAAAUGAGGGAGACAUGCAAGCAUGGGACCUCACCAACUCCACCCCCCUCUCCACAAUUGCUGCCGCAGGACCCUACAGGAUCGGGUCUGUGUCAGGAAACCAUUAUCGACAUCAAGCUUGCAACCCACCACUUGCUGAUGUUGGCGCUAAAUGACUUUCUACAGGAUACAUGCUACAGAUGUCAAACAGCUCAUCCCAGUCAGGUGCAACACAGCUGCUUGCACGAAUUGUCCGAGUAUUUCUUUGACACCUACUAUGACGAUGUGAUGAUAAGGCUUAUGACAGACCGAUUCAUCCCUGCCAUUCGACUGUUUGUACGCGCAUACACAGUCGUUGGGACUGGAACACAAUUCAGCAGGAUUGCAGAACACACCAUGACUGAACUGAGAUCAUCACAACAUAUAGUAUGCGCAAUUAACGACAACAUUGGGCUGCUGUUAGAAUCAAGUCGUUAUGCCCAGCUUGUUAAACCAGCCAUGCUUUGCAUGAUUGGUAACUACUGGGCUGGGAGACACCUGGUUUAAUGUAUACUGUUCAGUAUUCCUUGUCUGUGUGAAUGAAAUAAAAAGACGUGUUAACACCAACAUUUUAGUCAUUUGUGUCUUGCAUACAUCAUGGAAAACACCUUGUAUAAAAUUUAUCAUGAACCGGCCCAUCCUGCUGGCUUGGCCAGUUUAAAUAAGCUCCGUUUAGCUACCGCCGAGGCAACAGGGGUAAAACCCUCAUUAUCACAGGUCAAACAUUAUUUAGAACAAGAUGACACUUACACACUCCAUAAACCAGCUAGGAUCCACUUUCCCAGAAACAGAGUAUUGGUUAAUGGAAUCGACAAACAAUUUCAAGCCGAUCUGGUUGAUAUGUCUGAAUACAUGGCAGAUAAUGACAGUGUUAGAUACCUGCUAACAUGUAUAGAUGUAUUCUCAAAAUAUGCAUGGGUUAGAUGUCUCACAACCAAGACGGGCCCGGCCAUAACAGCCGCAUUUGAGGAUAUACUUACCGAGGGCAGGAUCCCCAUGAAACUACAAACAGAUGAAGGCAAAGAAUUUUAUAAUACACCCUUUAAACAGCUAAUGAAGCGAUAUAACAUCAAGCAUUUCUCAACAGCUAGUGAGGUUAAAUCUAGUAUUGUUGAAAGAAUCAACCGCAGCUUCAAGGGUAGAAUGUGCAAGUAUUUAACAUCCGUCAACUCAAGGAGAUAUGUACAAGUCAUCCCUGAGCUCACACAGGCAUAUAACAAUGCUUAUCACAGGUCUAUCCAAAUGGCUCCGGCAGAGGUA